rnacentral:rRNA from 1 species
CAGCCGCCACGGUAAUACGUAGGGUGCAAGCGUUAAUCGGAAUUACUAGGCGUAAAGCGUGCGCAGGCGGUUAUAUAAGACAGAUGUGAAAUCCCCGGGCUCAACCUGGGAACUGCAUUUGUGACUGUAUAGCUAGAGUACGGCAGAGGGGGAUGGAAUUCCGCGUGUAGCAGUGAAAUGCGUAGAUAUGCGGAGGAACACCGAUGGCGAAGGCAAUCCCCUGGGCCUGUACUGACGCUCAUGCACGAAAGCGUGGGGAGCAAACAGGAUUAGAUACCCCCGUAGUCCCUGUCUCUUAUAC